GCUGCUGGUACUGGAAGCGGGGCCGGCUGCCUUCCUGUUGCAAUGGACGCGGGGUCUUGCCGGCAGCGCCGUCCUCCUCGCUGCUCUGGGCGCCCAGGAGCAUGCUACACGCGGGUGAGGAUCAGUCCCACAUCAGCGGGAGGGAGAGCGAGGGAUCCUGCUCCCCGGUCCUCUGCACCGGCACCCGGAGAGAAGCCGGGGGGUCCAAGAGAGCAGAGACGGGGGAGUGAUGAGAGGAAGAAGAGAGAAGAUAGACAAAUAAAUAAUAAAACGCAAUCGAGCCGUAACACCACAGGCCCCGGGAAUGCUGCACCAUCCAGUGUUGGGAAGGAAAAAAAAACAGAAGAGAAAAAACAAUAACCAAAACACUCCACGAAGACGUACCCCCGAUAAUGGCGCCUGAGUGGAUCAGCAUUAAAUGUGCUUUGGGGG